AGGCCAGGCACUACUCUGUCCCAACAAUAAGCCCUGUACAUUGGGAAAGGUGCCGAGACAUGAACUUUGGUCUUCUCUGCAAUCCAUCUGGAGCAUUCAGUGACAACAUCGACUUUGAAGUUGCACUGACCUGGCCAGCCCUGCCACUUACCAGGUUGGGCUGUGGCUUGCCUUUUCACUUCUUGUGUCCUGUUUAAGAAAUAUCUACUAUCCCAAGCAUCUGGCAUCUUUCUUGACACAUGUAGCAGUUGCUUUUUGACAGCUUGCUUCUUCAGUGAAUGAAUAAAUUAAUAAAGAGAAAUGUGAUGUUCAGUGAUCCAUUUUGCAGAUUGCAAACUCCUAGAGAAGGGCUCAACAGUGAGUGCUGAGGCUGCACAGAGGAGGAAGGCAGCACAAUGAUGGAAGGCUUCCUAAAGAGGUCAUCUCCUGAAUCAAUUAAAAAAAAAACAUUGACAACAAAACUAAAAAAUAUGAAGAGGCUGAAACAUGAAAGCUCUGCCAACUGCAAUAUGUAGCUGCUAAGGUUGCUGUAUUUAUUGGAAUCAAGCAAGUGUUCCAGGAAAGAGCACAGAAGAUAUGUCUGGGAGCCUUUAUGUAUAACACUAACAAAGUUGACCUUAGAAUUGGAGUGCCUGGGUUAGAACCCUGCUGGUACCACCUGCUUACUGCAUGCUUCUGAUGUGAGUUCAGGAGAAGACACUGGCAAGGACAGCAAAGAACAGGAGAACACUCUAGCUUCCCUGAUAGCAUUCAAGGUGCUGUCCAAAGCUCUUGAGUUUCUGCUUUCAAGUGACCCUCAGAAAUUCCCCCAUUCACUGCAGAGGUUCUGUUUCUCCUUGCUUUGUUCUGACUUUACGGCAGAACUAAGCUGAUGAGUUAGUUACUAUGGGUUAUCACUUGGAUUUGAAGAACCAUCAUUUCUAGGCAUUGCUGCUCAGAGUGGGUCUGCCCUCAGGGGAAGCUGUCUAACCAGAGCCUAACCCACUAGGGUUUUAUCAGAACCUAACUGACCUGAGGAAAAGAAAUAUUCAACUCCAGCAAGCUCCAGCCUUCCAAAUGGAGGAGAAGAAAACCCAACUCCAGCCCACUUCAGCUAUCUUGUCCCACAUAAAGGGGAAGUGGAAGAAACCUGAGAAGCAGGCAUGAAGUUCACAGUCCAGAGGUACAGACACAUCAGAGUUCAGUAUCUGAUGAAUUAGAUGCAAAAACCUCAACAAAGUAUUAGCAAAUUGAAUUCAACAAUGUAUGAAAAUUAUUACAUGCCAUGACUAAUUGGAAUUUAUCUCAGGUAUACAAGCCAUGCUGAACAUCUGAAAAUCAAUUCAUGUGAUCCAUCACAUUAGCAGACUCAA
rnacentral:lncRNA from 1 species